rnacentral:SRP_RNA from 2 species
GCCGGGCGCGGUGGUGGGCGCCUGUAGUCCCAGCUACUCGGGAGGCUGAGGCAGGAGAAUGGCGUGAACCCGGGAGGUGGAGCUUGCAGUGAGCCGAGAUCGUGCCACUGCACUCCAGCCUGGGUGGCAGAGCUAGCAGAGCUGGACUCCGUCACAGAAAAAAGAAAAAAAAAAGUGACUACUGCAUUUCUGACAGGGCUUGAUACAUGAUAGUUCUUCUUCUUCUUUUUUUUUUGAGAUGGAGUUUCACUCUUGUCGCCCAGACUGGAGUGUAGUGGUGUGAUCUCGGCUCAUUGCAACCUCUGCCUCCCAGGCUCAAGCAAUUUUCCUGCCUCAC